rnacentral:rRNA from 1 species
GACAGAGGGUGCAAACGUUGUUCGGAAUUACUGGGCGUAAAGCGCGUGUAGGCGGCCAAGUGUGUCGGACGUGAAAUCCCACGGCUCAACCGUGGAAGUGCGCUCGAAACUGCUUGGCUGGAGUCUCGGAGAGGAAGGUGGAAUGCUUGGUGUAGAGGUGAAAUUCGUAGAUAUCAAGCGGAACACCGGUGGCGAAGGCGGCCUUCUGGACGAUGACUGACGCUGAGACGCGAAAGCGUGGGGAGCAAACAGG